rnacentral:misc_RNA from 1 species
GCCCUGCCACUUGUUUCCACUUUUUGGGGCAUAGUUUUGUUUGGAGAGUACCAGAGAUCAUCAAGAAGAACAUAUGUAUUACUAGCCAGCAUGUUGUUAAUGUUUAUUGUAGCUGUUGCAAUUCUAAUGGCAUCAGCAGGGCAUCGAAAGUGAGCUCAGAACGUCAUAACAUGCCUGGAAACUGUACAGAAAAUAGAUUAUUAAGCAGUUCCAUGGUUGAUCAGACAGUCAAUAAAAGAAGUCAUGUAAAAUUUGUUAAUACACCCAUUGGAAGGGAGCUGCUUCCUAAUUCAAGAAAAGAAUCCUG